UGGCGUUGACGGGUUUAGAGUGGUAAUUAAUGGGUCCAUACAUCAGAGUACUCCGUACGGAGUACAGAUUACACGGGUUGCAAAUAUCCUUGCCUGCCAGACUGGCCUCCAAUGGGAUUUCCCUCAAUGAGAUCUCUGAAUAACGUGAUCAGUCGCUCUUACCUAGGUACCAUCCGUUACCAGCAAUAUAUUUAUUAUACAUGAUGUAAUUUACUGGGUCUGGUUGUGUAUUGAGUGUAUUGAGUGUAGUGAUGUCUCCUUUCAUUACCAGCAGAUGCGAGCACUAGCAGACACUUUUUGCUGAUCGUUUAGUAUGCACAUUCUCUGGGGGAUGAAGAGAGACGAGUUCACGCUGUGACUUGUGAAGAGGAAACCAUAUUCGUGGUGAUAAGAAGCGGGAAGUUUUUAAAAAGCAAUCAGUGGAAGACCUUCGCAUUAUUCCUCCUCUUCAGCGCAGCGCAAAGGCAGC
rnacentral:sRNA from 1 species